AUUGAACGCUGGCGGCAGGCCUAACACAUGCAAGUCGAACGGUAACAGAAAGCAGCUUGCUGCUUUGCUGACGAGUGGCGGACGGGUGAGUAAUGUCUGGGAAACUGCCUGAUGGAGGGGGAUAACUACUGGAAACGGUAGCUAAUACCGCAUAACGUCGCAAGACCAAAGAGGGGGACCUUCGGGCCUCUUGCCAUCGGAUGUGCCCAGAUGGGAUUAGCUAGUAGGUGGGGUAAAGGCUCACCUAGGCGACGAUCCCUAGCUGGUCUGAGAGGAUGACCAGCCACACUGGAACUGAGAAACGGUCCAGACUCCUAAGGGAGGCAGCAGUGGGGAAUAUUGCACAAAGGGCGCAAGCCUGAUGCAGCCAUGCCGCGUGUAUGAAGAAGGCCUUCGGGUUGUAAAGUACUUUCAGCGGGGAGGAAGGGAGUAAAGUUAAUACCUUUGCUCAUUGACGUUACCCGCAGAAGAAGCACCGGCUAACUCCGUG
rnacentral:rRNA from 1 species